ensembl:misc_RNA Y_RNA Y RNA
GGCUGGUCCCAAGGUAGUGAGUUGUCUCACUUGAAGGUUCAUAAGUCAGUUAUAUAUUUAACUCUGUUCUACUCUCCCCCCUUCUCACUACGGCACUUGACUAGUCUUAG